rnacentral:lncRNA from 1 species
GACUGAAGCAACUUAGCAUGUACGCAUGCUUGGGAAAGGAUUAUCAUAUCGUUCAGAGGGGUGACUGGGGAGGAGGGAAGGUUCAGCAUGAAGGGUUCAAAUCCCCAAGUGGUUUUGUCCAGGACAGUGGGAGAAGCGUCUGGGGCGGGCAGGGGCUGGGGUGAAGGUGAGGACAGCUCUUCCUGGCCGGGCUCUUGGGAUGCUGAUAACAGGCUGGUGUUUAUCUCUCCUAAUUCUUACCUGCCCACCUGCUGAGAUUUCACAGGCCGUGGGAGUGGGACCUUUCAUUCUCUCCCACGUUGUGUACCGGUCCUGUCUGUCCCUGGUACCGGCACAUAGUCACUGAAUUAGAGAAGGAACAUGCGGUCCCCACCCCAUUGUUGGGGACUGCAGCCUCCCAGGCCUGCACCAGGUUAACCUGCCUCCCAGGACCCCCUAGUAUUCUUGGAGCUUCUUCUUGGGACCUUUAUCUCCUGGGAUCUGCAUGCAUCACAGGCUGGCACGGGGAGGGGUGUGGGGAGGAUGGGAGGCGAGAACCCGGUAUGAGUAAGAGUUCUGUGGUUCUCUUCAGAUGCUUAUCUGCCCAUUUCACAAACCUUCCUUCUGUGGAAUAACUUGUUUGGUGAAAAAGGCUUCCUUUCCUAAUUUUAUGACUGGGAGGUGUCAUUGGACAAUUGCUUCUGAGUGCUGAUCUGCGGCAAGGGUGGGUUACCAAGAUCCCCUCACCCUGGGGUCCUCAGCCGCCUCCACCGUCCCCCACUUUAAUGAGUCUGAGAUGAGAGCUGGGAGCUGGGAGGGCCACUAGGUGAAGGAGCAGGAUGUGUCUCCACCUGCCACUGUCAGCUUCUGCCUUUUGAAGUGAGGUCACCUUUCAGACUGGGCUCCACCCACCACUGUCCCUUCUGCAAGAAAAGCAGGGUACCCCUGCUCCAGUCCCUGCUCCCCUACAUAUAACCUGUCCCUCCCCACCAGCUUCACAUAUUCUCAUGUGUUCAUGGGCAAAAAUGCAUCGUUUGACCAUAUUCAUUCACCUGGGCUGCUCCUUAAAGUCAAGUCCAAGAUGAUUUCUGGUGAAGAAGAUACACUCUUGCUGUAGAAUCA